rnacentral:rRNA from 1 species
AAUAUUGGACAAUGGGCGAAAGCCUGAUCCAGCCAUGCCGCGUGUGUGCAGAAGGUCANAGGAUUNUNAAGUACUUUAAGUUGGGNGGGAGGGCUUUAGGUUAAUACACUGACGUUUUCACGUUACCAACAGAAUAAGCACCGGCUAACUUCGUCACAGCAGCCGCGGUAAUACGAAUGGUGCCAGCGUUAAGCGGAAUUACUGAGCGUAAAGCGCGCGUAGGUGGUUUGUUAAUUUGGUAGUGAAAGCCCCGGGCUCAACCUGGGAACUGCUUUCAAAACUGACAGGCUAGAGUACGGCAGAGGGUGGUGGAAUUUCCUGUGUAGCGGUGAAAUGCGUAGAUAUAGGAAGGAACACCAGUGGCGAAGGCGACCACCUGGGCUAAUACUGACACUGAGGUGCGAAAGCGUGGGGAGCAAAC